AACAAACGCUGGCGGCGUGCCUAACACAUGCAAGUCGAACGCGAAAAUCGGCUUCGGCCGAUGAGUAAAGUGGCGCACGGGUGAGUAACGCGUGGAUAAUCUACCCUUCAGUUGGGAAUAACUUAUCGAAAGGUGAGCUAAUACCGAAUAAAACUGCCUGACCACGGUCGGGUAGUCAAAGAUAGCCUCUGCUUGCAAGCUUUCGCUGAAUGAUGAGUCCGCGUACCAUUAGCUAGUUGGUGGGGUAAUGGCCUACCAAGGCGACGAUGGUUAGCUGGUCUGAGAGGAUGAUCAGCCACACUGGAACUGAGACACGGUCCAGACUCCUACGGGAGGCAGCAGUGAGGAAUCUUGCGCAAUGGGGAAACCCUGACGCAGCAACGCCGCGUGAGUGAGGAAGGUCUUCGGAUCGUAAAGCUCUGUCGGGUGGAAAGAAAUGUAUGGGGUUAAUAGCCUUCAUACUUGACGGUACCACCAAAGGAAGCACCGGCUAACUCCG
rnacentral:rRNA from 1 species